UAGGGAAUCUUCCGCAAUGGGCGAAAGCCUGACGGAGCAACGCCGCGUGAGUGAUGAAGGUCUUCGGAUCGUAAAACUCUGUUAUUAGGGAAGAACAAAUGUGUAAGUAACUAUGCACGUCUUGACGGUACCUAAUCAGAAAGCCACGGCUAACUACGUGCCAGCAGCCGCGGUAAUACGUAGGUGGCAAGCGUUAUCCGGAAUUAUUGGGCGUAAAGCGCGCGUAGGCGGUUUUUUAAGUCUGAUGUGAAAGCCCACGGCUCAACCGUGGAGGGUCAUUGGAAACUGGAAAACUUGAGUGCAGAAGAGGAAAGUGGAAUUCAAUGUGUAGCGGUGAAAUGCGCAGAGAUAUGGGGGAAAACCAGUGGCGAAGGCGACUUUCUGGUCUGUAACUGACACUGAUGUGCGAAAGCGUGGGGAUCAAACAGG
rnacentral:rRNA from 1 species